ACGGGAGGCAGCAGUGGGGAAUAUUGGGCAAUGGACGCAAGUCUGACCCAGCAACGCCGCGUGAAGGAAGAAGGUCUUCGGAUUGUAAACUUCUUUGACGGGGGAAGAGAAGAAGACGGUACCCCGAAAACAAGCCACGGCUAACUACGUGCCAGCAGCCGCGGUAAUACGUAGGUGGCAAGCGUUGUCCGGAUUUACUGGGUGUAAAGGGCGUGUAGCCGGUUUGGCAAGUCAGAUGUGAAAGGUAUGGGCUUAACCCGUAGACUGCAUUUGAAACUGUUGGACUUGAGUAUCGGAGGGGCAAUUGGAAUUCCUAGUGUAGCGGUGAAAUGCGUAGAUAUUAGGAGGAACACCGGUGGCGAAGGCGGAUUGCUGGACGAUAACUGACGGUGAGGCGCGAGAGUGUGGGUAGCGAACAGGAUUAGAUACCCUGGUA
rnacentral:rRNA from 1 species